GCAGAACGCGAAGUACAGUUCAGAAUCACAUCGUUCAGAACCGGCGCACACGGUGCUGAGAGGGGUGAGAAGAGACAAGUAUUAUGGUGGCCCCCCUGGAUCCAUCUUGGGGCCCCUUAGGGAGCCACGGCCCCCAGUUUGAGAACAACUGUACUAAGCAGCAGUAGUUGGAGCGCUGCUGUUGCAGGUAGGAUCCUGGGCUUGGACAGUCACAUUCAGUCGCAUUCCACAUGGCAGAGAUGUCAGCUGACAGGAAGU